GCUCCCUUCGUCUAGUGGCCUAGGACGCUAGCCUCUCACGCUGGAAACACGAGUUCGAUUCUCGUAGGGAGCA
rnacentral:tRNA from 1 species